UUCUACUUUAUGUCUCAGGAGAAUCCUCCACAACUGGGAAUUUCCCAGUUGCACAACCGGAACACACCAGUUAAGUAUCUUCAAUUGAAUGACAAUAAGCAAAAUGCUAACUAAUUCGCUUAGCUUGAACACGCAUUCAGGUGGAACACUGUGAAACAUUAUGAAUAAUGACGAUAAGUAGCUAGUUCAAUGCUAGUUCAUUAGCUAGCAGAUUUCUAACAAUGACUGGAGUGUAAAACAAUACAAUUAUAUCAUUAUUUUGACCUCAAUUUAACCUCACGACGGAUUAAUGUUUUUUAGUCUCUUCAUUCUCAGCCACUUCAAAACCAACUAUCGACUGACAACUGAAAAAUGGGAAUAUACUGUAUCUAUCUUAGGUGUUCAGAGGCGAACUAUCAACUGACACUUUCACUUAUUUUACAACGUUUGAUAUUCAGAAUUACAAUAUGAAGUCACUUGAGGUCACAUGUUGACUUCAUUGAGCUUAUCUUACGGUUCUGGAAUCUCUGUCUCGAGCUCCAACAGUUAGUCACGGGAGACAUGCAUAUGUGAGCAGUAGCACAUCAAAGAACUAAACUUUUCCUCCUCUUCCACCCUCGAAACUGUAGUACUUAACAACGUGCAGACUGGAGUGAUGGAAUUGCAAUGAUAGCCACCAUUAUGCCCUCAGUAUUUUUAAGGGCAUCACCAGAUGACGUGUUAAAUGUGCGGUCGGAUGAGAUGUUUAUCAGAUUAAGGUCAAGGUGAUGUACAAUGGACUGAACUGCAGAGAGCCAACUGCUGUUCAUGCUAGUGUGUUUCUGUGCUGGAUUUUCCUCCUGCCACUGGAUUUUCCAUCGCCACUGCUCUGCUCAGAAACAGAUGCAAUAUUGGCAGCCCUCCGGCCUCAAAGAGAAGAGGACCUCUCAGCGCUCUUCGCUUUCUAUCUGAUCCACUUUCACGCUCCUCAGCCCGCCGACCAUACCGAUACAUUUCUGUUCUUCUCUGUGUGACGUUUGUGGACGUGGUUGGACCCCCCACCCCUCUUCUCUGAGCCCAAGUGUGGUCACGAAAGCUUGGAACACGGAGGAACAUUUAUUGCCCGUUUAAAGACGAACAGACAAGACGGAGCUUGAAUAAAUGAGACAUGGAAGUGAAAGCUGGGGGCGGACUAUAAAGCAGAAUUGAGCACGCCUGAGGCUUUGUGCUCUCAGCUGACUUCACAUGUCACGGAUGAUGAGAUCAUAUGAGAGGACUUCUGCAGAGAUCCACUGGCCUUUGCUGAACUUCAUUGUCUAAAUAUGUAUCCGCAUGGAAAACUGGGAGCAGAAAACCAGCAUGGAAAAUAUCUGCGAGGCUUUGUUUGUCUGGAGACUUUGUUUCCUGUCUUUGUUUCUGAAGAUUAAAGAGAUGGACAUGUGAGAAGAAGAAUUGGAGUAGAUCUGUAGUUCCUUUCGGUGUGUCUUGUCUUGUAUCAUGUAUUGUUUUUUAUCCACAUACAUUUGAAAGACUGUCGAUAUAAAACAA